AGGUCUAACCUGCCCAAUGAGGAAUUAAAUGGCCGCAGUAUUUUGACUGUGCANAGGUAGCAUAAUUAUUAGUUUUUUAAUUGAAAGCUUGUAUGAAGGGUUGGACGAGAUAAAAUCUGUCUUUAUUUAAAUUAUAAUAGAAUUUAACUUUUAAGUCAAAAGGCUUAAAUGUAUGUAAAAGACGAGAAGACCCUAUAGAUCUUUAUUUAACUAAUAUUUUGAUAAUUUAGGAUUAUUUUAGUUUAAAGUUUUAGUUAAAUUUUAUUGGGGUAAUAUAAAGAUUAAAUAAAUUCUUUUUAUUUAUUACAUUGAUUUAUGAAUAUAUGAUCCAAUAUUAUUGAUUAUAAGAUUAAGUUACCUUAGGGAUAACAGCGUAAUUUUUUUGGAGAGCUCAUAUCGAUAAAAAAGUUUGCGACCUCGAUGUUGGAUUAAAAAUUAGCUUGGGUGCAGAAGCUCAAGAUUUUGGUCUGUUCGACCAUUAAAUUUUUACAUGAUCUGAGUUCAGACCGGCGUAAGCCAGGUCGGUUUCUAUCUUUAUUUAUCUAAAAUAUUUUAGUACGAAAGGACCAAAUAUUUAAUAUAAUUAUAUUUAUUUUUUGAAUAAUAUU
rnacentral:rRNA from 1 species